ensembl:lncRNA
GUUGGAUGUAGUUUGUCCCUGUGUGCUGCCGUACGUCCUGUGUCUGGUUAAGAUCAGACACAGAUCAUUGGUGCUUAAGGUUAAAAAAGGGGUUGGGUUUGUCUUUGGUGCAAAUGUGAAGUUUGAGACGUUAGUUUGGAAAAAGCAGGAAACAGUGAACUUUGUUUCUCUUUUGGACGCUGCUCAUUUACUCUGAAGGACCUGGAGGUGGAGGUGUGUCAUGUCAGGGUGGAGGUCUGUAGGGCGGGUCCUCUUGCUGGAGGUCGGGUCCUCUGGGUGGAGUUGGCUGCAUGAUGAUGUCAAAAGCUAAAGCCAAACUUCGGGACAUUCUCCAUGGAGACAGACACAUUUUAUGCUGUAAUGUGGAAAAUUAUCAUCAAAGGAACAAAAACAUUUCCAUAGAAACAACCAGGUGCAGGUCAAAUGAGAGUCAGGUUUGUGGAGAGGCGAG